AUUGAACGCUGGCGGCAGGCCUAACACAUGCAAGUCGAGCGGAUGAAGGGAGCUUGCUCCUGGAUUCAGCGGCGGACGGGUGAGUAAUGCCUAGGAAUCUGCCUGGUAGUGGGGGAUAACGUCCGGAAACGGGCGCUAAUACCGCAUACGUCCUGCGGGAGAAAGUGGGGGAUCUUCGGACCUCACGCUAUCAGAUGAGCCUAGGUCGGAUUAGCUAGUUGGUGGGGUAAAGGCCUACCAAGGCGACGAUCCGUAACUGGUCUGAGAGGAUGAUCAGUCACACUGGAACGGAGACACGGUCCAGACUCCUACGGGAGGCAGCAGUGGGGAAUAUUGGACAAUGGGCGAAAGCCUUAUCCAGCCAUGCCGCGUGUGUGAAGAAGGUCUUCGGAUUGUAAAGCACGUUAAGUUGGGAGGAAGGGCAGUAAGUUAAUACCUUGCUGUUUUGACGUUACCAACAGAAUAAGCACCGGCUAACUUCGUG
rnacentral:rRNA from 1 species